GAGCACCCAAAGGGAGAACAAGUUGCCAGGGAUGCUGACCAGAGCCACCACUGUGUACACAACUGGGAGGGUGAUGGAGACUGUUUUAUUCUGGAGCAUUGCCAGCGUCAAAGCAUCCAGUGAAAGGAGGACAUGCAUUCAAUGACUCUUGCUAUAUCUGAAUAUAAACAGAAUAUAAGGAAAAAAACAUGAAAACCGGGGACAGAUUGCAAUUGUUUGGACUGGUUUACAGACUGGAGAAGCCCUCUUCUACCAAGAACAAGACUAUUGAGCCUCAGUUUCUGCAAAAUAUGAUUCCUGGGACCUGGCAAAUGUGAAGUCUCUACUGGAGGCUCCAGUGCAGUAAAGAGAUAAUCAACUCAGAAAAACCAGAGUGCAGAUCCAGAAAAAGGGAAGCUGAGACUGUGACUUGGAGAGCCUGGGAUAUCUUCAAGGACUUGUCUGGGCCUGUCUGCUUUGACUGUCAGACACAACAGAAACUAGAAAACUUUGAUCACCAGCAGAGACCUGCCUCCCUCCUCCCUCCCUCUCCCUCGCUCCCUCCCUGAGAUCCAUAUCUUGAAACCUCUUCCUGCAACUACGGGGAUGGAAACCUUUCUCUUAAGAGCAAAAAAUAGGCGAAGAAGAAUGUUCAAGUUAUAACUAAAAAGAACCAAACAAAUGCAAUUAAAAAUAGGAUCUGAGGUGAUACAGAGUUUAACCUAAACCAGUUUCAUUUAUCCACAAAAGACUUCCCUCCAGUGAAAUGAAAAAAAUCCAGCAUCAUCAACAGUUUGGAAUAUGACCUAGUGGAAGAAUCCCAGACAGCUGCACUGACACGUCAUGCUUAUGUGGCAAGAUGUAGGAGAAUCCUUCUCUGAAAGAUAUUCUGGCAGCUGCAGCACAGAGAUAUAGGCUUCAAACUAAAUGUUUCCAGAACAACAGGAAAAACAAAAAGGAAAGUAAGCACUCAUUAAAUGUAAAAUGUUACUUUUAAAAGUAGCUUGGAAUGUCAAAUUGGGGAAACUAGGAUAUAAAAGCAUGAAAACCACUCUCCCCCUGCACAAACACCGUAAGAAACCUUGUUUUUGAAGUACAUAACCAUAUCCCUCCUCUUCCUUUGACCUCGGACAGAGGAUGCCUAUUUCUAGGCUACCUCAGCUCUACCUGCCUCUGUGGAUGCAAAGGACUACUAAUGUCAGUCAUACAUGCUAAAAACCCAGGUUUUGUUGAUAUUGCUCAUUAGAGCAGGAGCUUCAUUAAUGCACUCCAACCCCGCAAUUCCAUUUCUUUUUUGUCUGCCCACAAGCCUAGGCACAGUUUUGGCUCGGUACCUACUGAUAAUCAGACUCAGUUUGCAAGGGGACGAGCCUGGAGAACCCUUGACCUCACCCGUGCCCCAUCCUUCUGAAACCUGGGGAAGAGCAAGAUGAUGGGACAAAGUUUUGAAGACUUGGCUGCGCCUGCACUCCAUCAUGGGCUGUGUCUGGGCUCCAUUGAAAGACCAGCUGUGGGCAAAAUGCAAAAAACUCACCGGGGAAUUGGCAUCACACGAGAGAUUUGGAAGCUGCAGGGACGAGCAGGUCCCACCAGGUGGUGGCAUGACAGCACAGGAGUUGGUAUUCCUGAUUUACCGUGGUACGUCCAGCAGGACCUCGGCUCCUCCAGACUCUAGAAAUUUGAAGGGUUUUUUUUGUCUGCUUUGUUCUGUUCUGUUUUGUUUUGGUUGUUGUUUUUGAUUUGGUCUGGAGGUUUUUUGUUUGUUUUGUUUUGGGGUUUUUUGGAUUUUUUUUUUUUUGUUGUUGUUGUCAUUGUUGGGGUUUUUUUUGUUUUGUUUUGUUUGAUUUUCUCAUCAAUGCUAAGAAAUAAUUCUUGCAAAUCUGCUUCGACUCUGCUUUUUGGAGUUCUAUUCUAUUGUUCAAGAAACAAUGCAAAGUAACAAUGAAGGAAAGAGCAAGAAACUAUUGAUAUAAUUAAUAGCUUUUUGACCCAAUCUCCAUGUACUUUCUUUGCCCUUUUCCCUGAAUACAUGAGCAUGUAUUUAGUCCUGAGAUAAAAGUUUCAGUUGAUGAUUCAGAGUUGAAAAGCUUGGGCUUAUCGGCCAUGAGCAGGAUAUAAUGGAAAAGUUUUGGGUUUUGGUCAGCCAAUAUAAAGACUGAUAGAAUACAGCUUGGGAUGGAAAUACAUAUAUCUGCAGUCCCAGAGUACGAGGUGAGUUCUGACAUCCAGUCAUACUCUCUCUUUCUUCCACUUGUACUCACAAAUAUUUUUACUAGCAUGCCCAUCCCCUCUUCCUCCUUCUUCCCUCUCCCCUCAUCUUAACAAUAUUUUUUCAGAAACUAAAAAGGUUAUCAUCAAUCCUUGGCCUCCCAUCUCCUUCCUGAACUCCUCAAUGGGACUUUUUACUCAUCUUUACCAAGCAUUUGACUUCCUUUCCAUUUGAUUCAUACCUCCCAGGUUCUGUCAUCCCUUUCUGGAUACAGCUGAUCCUCAGGGCUGAGGAGCCACAAGCUGCGGGAAAAUCUGGUAAUUUUGAAGGCAGGAGAUGCAUAGUGAAGUACAGGCAGAAGGUGAGAAGGGAUUCUCAGUGCACCUCACUUUAGGGGAGUUCUUUGGGUUAUUUGGGGAUUUGAUGCAAAUGAGAGGAAGUGAGGAACAAACUGACGAGUCCUGACAGUCUCACCAACAGCCCUGAAGUAUAAUUAAAAAAGCUUUUUAAAAAUAUAUGAAAAAUGUUAAAGCCCAAGAAACAAUGGCCCACAAUAAAGUUCUCAAAGUUCAAUACUGUCCAAAGAACAACUUCAAAGGGAGUCACUCCAAUUCACAAAUGCAGCAAGGAAUCAGCACUCAUACAAAGCAUUAAUAUAACAUGCACAUAGCCAUUUUGAAGUAGGACCCUAAAUACUCAGCUGAGGACUAGAAAGAGUUUUCAGAUACUGAAAGCAAAACCUUGCACCUACCUCAGAGCUUCUGAGACACUGCCAGGUCCAGGACUCAGUGCAUCUAGCUGGCUUGGCUUCACAUCAGAGGAGAUCCUUGGAUGAAGGUGCUUGAGACUGAAGGACAGAGAGGCAAC